UCUUCAGACAUAUUCAUCACAACUUGCAGAGCUUUGGGACGUCCGGAAAUAUCCACAAGCUAGAAAACUUUCUCAAAGGAUUGAGAAGCUACCGGUACAGGUUGGGUAUUCUUAUAUCCAUUUAUAUCCCCUAUUGUUGUUGAUGAUGAUGUUAUAUAGCUUUCAGUUUUGUUGAAGUCCUGUUAGUUUUGAUGAUUUUCACACAACUAGAAAUUUGGUUUAAAUCCUCUACUUUAUGGUGUUCAAUCCUUGCAUGCGAACUGUGGAUGAAUUUGAAUGUCAUCAGUUGUUUUAUUAAGAUGCUUAACCAUCUAAGAUUUGGAUUCCAUCAACAAAGAAGCCUCAUAUUGAAUUUCUAAACUAGCCUGCUAAGUAUUCGUUAAAAUGACAAAAGUAGCUUUGAAUUUGAAACUCCAGUAAUAGUCGAAAGUUUGACAAAAACCUCAUUCCAUCAAAAAUUAUGGCUUAAAAUUCUUUGCUUUCUAUUAAAAUUUAGUGAUACAAAUUUACUUUACUGUAUUAUACUUGGCGUUUUCUUUGGUAGUAAUUAUAAAAUUUUCUUAUGAACAUGGAAAUGAGAUCAUCUGCUGCUCAAAUAUGUUUUGACCAUGGAAAUGCCAUCAUAUAUUUUCUUAUGAACAUGGACUAAUUUUCUUUUUCCUCUUCGAUUUCUCCAUUGGAAUUCAUGCUGACAUCUUUCUUAUGGUGGGGUUUAUUUGGUUUUAUUGCCUUGGUUCUAUUGGAACUCGUAUGAGAGGAAUAUGAGAAAUACAAAAUUUCACGAGAAACAAAAAGGGAGAUUGAUUUACAUUUUCAUUCCUAAUAAACCAGACAUCUAUUGAUGAAGGGAUAUUAAUCGAAUGGAACAAAGAUUGGGAAAGACGUAGUUGCCUGUUUGAAAGAAGCUAUGAAAAAAGCAAACAUUGAUAUGUUUUCAGUAACUGCGCUGGUUAAUAAUUCUGGGGGAGCGCUCGCUGGAGCGAUAUACAAGAACCAAGAUGUGAAAGUUGCUUUCAUUUUGGGCACUGGAAGUAAUUUCUGUUACGUAGAAUGUAUGGAUGCUAUUCCAAAUAAAUCUUCUCCCUCAGCAGUAGUAUAUGCCAUAGAAAAAUGAAAGUCAGUUCAAAAGAGAUGAUGAUGAACUUUCAAGUCUUGGAAGAGCUGGGGCAUGUGCUGGCAUGAUUUCUACCCUUGUUGACAUGAUCGGUGUGUGCAUUUUCUAGUCUUUUCCAGAACAUGAACUUACAGUUCAGUAUGAAGCCGGGAACGCAUCUUCGGAUCCAAAUAUGCUUACUGCAGAAAUAUGGACUCUAACUAUUGUUACAAACAAUUUCAUUGGAUCUCAUAAGCUUGGGGCAUGAGGUUCUGGUCCAGUGUACUAGGGAAUGCUAGCGGAUGGGCAAGAAAUAGCAGUAAAAAGGCUCUCGGAGAGCUCUUUACAAGGUCUAGAAGAGUUUACAAAUGAAGUUACAGUGAUGUUAAAAUCUCCAGCACCCAAAUCUCGUGAGGCUGUAGUGGAAGGGGAUAAUAUAUGAUGACCACAUACCUAAUAAAAGCUUGGAUGCUUAUCUUUUCAGUGUGAGAUUUUCUAACAAAUUCAGUCACUCGAAAUUCUGAUCAGAUACCUGACAUCAUGUUAAACAUCUUCCAUACAAAAUAGUUAACCUUGUGUUUUUGUAGACCAUCUGACUCAGGUGCCCAUUUUAAUUUAUACCACUGUCUAUACCAGUCACCCAUUUUUAAUGUAUCGACCACUUGAGUAGCAUACCUAAAUUAUUUUAUGCGAUCAUUUUUCUUCUGUAGCCAA